UACGUAGGGUGCGAGCGUUGUCCGGAAUUAUUGGGCGUAAAGAGCUUGUAGGCGGUUUGUCGCGUCUGCCGUGAAAAUUCGAGGCUCAACCUCGAACUUGCGGUGGGUACGGGCAGACUAGAGUGUGGUAGGGGGAGACUGGAAUUCCUGGUGUAGCGGUGAAAUGCGCAGAUAUCAGGAGGAACACCGAUGGCGAAGGCAGGUCUCUGGGCCACUACUGACGUGAGGAGCGAAAGCGUGGGGAGCGAACAGG
rnacentral:rRNA from 1 species